rnacentral:rRNA from 1 species
GAUGAACGCUGACAGAAUGCUUAACACAUGCAAGUCAACUUGAACUUCGGUUUGGGUGGCGGACGGGUGAGUAACGCGUAAAGAACUUGCCUCACAGAUAGGGACAACAUUUGGAAACGAAUGCUAAUACCUGAUAUUAUGAUUUUAGGGCAUCCUAGGAUUAUGAAAGCUAUAUGCACUGUGAGAGAGCUUUGCGUCCCAUUAGCUAGUUGGAGAGGUAACGGCUCACCAAGGCGAUGAUGGGUAGCCGGCCUGAGAGGGUGAUCGGCCACAAGGGGACUGAGACACGGCCCUUACUCCUACGGGAGGCAGCAGUGGGGAAUAUUGGACAAUGGACCAAGAGUCUGAUCCAGCAAUUCUGUGUGCACGAUGAAGUUUUUCGGAAUGUAAAGUGCUUUCAGUUGGGAAGAAAAAAAUGACGGUACCAACAGAAGAAGUGACGGCUAAAUACGUGCCAGCAGCCGCGGUAAUACGUAUGUCACAAGCGUUAUCCGGAUUUAUUGGGCGUAAAGCGCGUCUAGGUGGUUAUAUAAGUCUGAUGUGAAAAUGCAGGGCUCAACUCUGUAUUGCGUUGGAAACUGUGUAACUAGAGUACUGGAGAGGUAAGCGGAACUACAAGUGUAGAGGUGAAAUUCGUAGAUAUUUGUAGGAAUGCCGAUGGGGAAGCCAGCUUACUGGACAGAUACUGACGCUGAAGCGCGAAAGCGUGGGUAGCAAACAGG